rnacentral:rRNA from 1 species
CCUACGGGUGGCAGCAGUGGGGAAUAUUGCGCAAUGGGCGAAAGCCUGACGCAGCGACGCCGCGUGAGGGAUGAAGGUCUUCGGAUCGUAAACCUCUGUCAGUAGGGAAGAACGGUCACUGUGCUAAUCACCAGUGAAUUGACGGUACCUGCAAAGGAAGCACCGGCCCACUCCGUCCGAGCAGCCGCGGUAAUACGGAGGGUGCGAGCGUUAAUCGGAAUUACUGGGCGUAAAGCGCUCGUAGGCGGUAUGUCAAGUCAAGGGUGAAAUCCCCGCGCUCAACGUGGGAACUGCCUUUGAUACUGGCAGACUGGAGUGUGGGAGAGGAAGGUGGAAUUCCAGGUGUAGGAGUGAAAUCCGUAGAUAUC